AGCCGCGCGCCCGCCGUUUGUAUUCCACAUUUGUUAACCGCACGUUGCUAGGCGAGGAGAACGUAGCAGCAGCAGCACGCUGUGAUCGUUUUCGAGAUAAUUGUUUUCGAGCGUGAUACACGCUGUGCGCGUAUUAUUAUUCCGUGCUUCGAUAAUCGGAAUUUGAAACGAAAUUCAGAGAGAUGAGAAGAAAAGAUUAUUUUUGUACUUGUAUAAAAUCUGUAACGUAACACAUUUAUUGACGCAUAGCUCGAUACAAAUAGCUGUGUCGAUUCGUUAUCAACGACAUGCGAGGAAAUUUAGAAAUUUUAUUUUAAAUAUACGAAUAAUAGAAAUCAAUAAUAUAAAUCAAUGACGGAGAAAAAGGAAGAAGAAGGGAAAAAAGCACGCCGAAUCUGUUACCUAAUCCUGGAAUAGUCUGGCUUCAUUGGAUCUGACUCAAAGGAGAGGAUUUUUUAAUUGUACCUCCUUGGUCAAAAUUGAAAACGCAAUAAUAAUCAAAGACUGGAAAAGACGAUAGUAAACUUUUCGAGGUCGCCCAAAUCCUUCGAUUCGAUUUUCAUUAAUUAACGAUUAAUUUUUCCUCCGCUUUCUCGAAUUUUCAUUCCACUCCUCCCCUUCUUCCUCCAUGGAAAUCUCUCUCGACUCGUGGGCUCUCUAUAUAGGAAGUAAGAGGGAGUAGAUCCCCAAGCAGACAGACAUUAAUGAUUCCCGUUGUAAUACGUGGAACGACGCAAAGGAAUAGGCGCGAGAGUGCAGUUUCAGAACCGGUUAAACUCCCGCGACAACCUUGAAGAGAAGUCUCGCGCAAAGCGAGAGAGCCGAGCCAGACCACGUUUUCACCGCGGUGGGGAAGCUUUACAAAUUCUAAUGGGCAAGUUCACGGUUCCUGAGCCCGUUACCACCGUCCACACGGGGCCACUUCUCGAUCACGUGCAACUUCUGCACCCCCCGACCGAUCGUUUCGAGAAAUUUUUUGAAAAGUCCGGAAAGGGAGGGGGAGAAGGAAGGGGAUUCUCAUAAUCGUCCUCGAAUAUUUGACGGAUGGCGAGGAAAGAGGGUAGUGGGGAUGGACCCUUGGAACGAAACGGUUUAUUUUUACGUUAUAUUUUAUUUUUGUUAGGGAUCUUAGAAUGGAGGAUCAAUAAUUGUUUUAUUUUCGAAUAUUUGACGGAUGGAAAGCUAUGCCGGUAUUGGGGAUGGGUCCACGACUUGUUUUACUUUUAGAUAUUUGUGUACGAGAAAUAUUUUAUUUUUGUUAGGGAUGAGUCUUAGAAUGGAGGAUUAAUAGUUUUAUUUUUCAAAUAUUUGUGUAGAAAAGAGAAAAUUGAGGAUGGAUUCACGACAUGUUUUAUUUUUACAUAUUUGUGUACGGGAAAUAUUUUAUUUUUGUUAGAGAUGGGUCUUAGAAUGGAGGAUUAAUAGUCGUUUUAUUUUCAAAUAUUUGUGUAAGAGAAAAUUGGGGAUGGAUUCACGACAUGUUUUAUUUUUAAAUAUUUGUGUACGAGAAAUAUUUUAUUUUUGUCAGGGAUGGAUCUUAGAGUGGAGGAUAGUCGUUUUAUUUUCGAAUAUUUGAUGGAUGGAAAGCAUUCCGGUAUUGGGGAUGGGUCCUCGCCAUCUUGGAAUGAAACGUUUUAUUUUUCGAACAUUUAUGUACCAGAAAUAUUUUAUUUUCAUUAGGGACCUUAGAAUGGAGGAUUAAUAAUUAUUUUGUUUUCGAAUAUUUGAUGGAUGGAAAGCCAUCCCAGUAUUGGGGAUCAAUCGCCAUCUUGAAACGAAACGUUUUAUUUUUAUUUUCAUUAGGGAUGGAUCUUAGAACGGAGAAUUAAUAAUUGUUUUAUUUUCGAAUAUUUGUAAGAAAUAUUUCAUUUUUUGGAAUAGAAAACAUUGAUGAAAUUUAGGGAUAGAUUAAAUGCUUCACUUUGGGAUGGAUCCUCGAGAUCUUAGAAUGGAUUAAUCGUCGUUUUAUUUUUGAAUAUCUCGUUUUGGAAUGGUUGGAAAUUGGGAAUGGAUCCUCGCAAUCUUAGAAUAAACGUUUUAUUUUGGGAUAAAAAGCCCUGAAAUAACAUCGCACAUAUACACACGAUUAAAAUUAAUAAACCUACGUAAAUAAAAAUAAAUAACAAUUUAAAGAUUUAUUAUUCCAACCAAGGUAUUUUAAACUGUGCUAAGAUUAUCAAACGAUAUUUUUAAAUACUUUUCAAUAUGUUUAAAAAAAAUGAUACAAAAGCGUGAUACAAAAACCAUCAAAAACUUGAAAAUCAUAUUUUGAUUAAACGAUAAACAUUGAAUAUAACAAGGCGAGAAACGAGGAACAAUUCCGAAUGGAUUCACCUUCUGAGCGACAUUAAAAUUAAAAAAUUAAUAUUUACUCAUCAAAAUAACAACACCAAAGCCUGUGAAACGUUUGAAUAAUGCAACGGAGACGAUAUUACAAUAAUAAUCUCAAUUAUCCGACGAGUAGCCCUAUGCUCUCUGCAUCAUUCAUGGACGGAAGAUGAAAACAAUUCCACCGAGGCAGAGAGAGACGGGGAGAACGCAAUCCAACAAUAAUAAUCACGUACCAAAACUCUCCACAAAUAUCGAAACGAUGAUGUUCGCACGAAACUUCUCAUCGUAACAAAAUGUUUAUUAUAACAAUUCCAAUCACGAUAAAAAACUAAAACGUUUCGAGCUGCGUCCUCUGCGUCUACGUAAUCGCAAUAAUCGUCAAAACUUGAGAACAACAACAAGGAGAGAACCCGGCGAUAGGUUCAAACGAAUACCGCGCCUUUAUUGAAACGCCACACCAACUUCCUCCACGAUAGUAAUUUCAAUUUAUCCUUAUAAAAAAGCACGUGUACACGGUUGCGCGUUCUAUACGUGUUAUUUAUUACGAGGGAAGACGGGGACAAGAAUACGAGAGGAGGGGAGCGAGUCGAGUUCGGGGUGUGGCAUCGAUAAAGCGCUCUCGAUAAACCGGGGGAGGGGGGGGAGGAUCGAGCGGCCCUUGAAAAUCGUAUUAUUCAUUACGCGGCGAGCUAGUUGAUGAAAUAACGGGUAACACGCUUAACCACCGCAUGCGAACGGGCUAUAAAUAAUCCGAGGAGACCCGUUUCCUGUUGUAAGUUUAAUGCGUGGCCACGGACAAAGUGAUGUUUAGCUUGACGAGCGGUCGUAAGAACCGGACGCGAGAAAAAUCUGGCGGUACCAUGCAACCAACCGCUCGCUACCACUCGCCUAUACCUGUUUCCUCGCUGGAUUCCGACACUUUAUCGCGGCCAAUGCUCCCUUCGAUGAUAAUAAGUCGUCGUUCCUUCCCCGGAACCCCUUCGUUUUGGAAGGGAAAAAUGUGAUUCCACGUUUAUCUCUUACUUUUCAGUCGAACAUAUCCUCGUAUCGAGGGUUGAUAUCGAACGAGUGAAAAAAUUUCUUCUUUCUUUUCUCUGGAAUUGGAUUUUUAUGAUUUUUUUUUUUUUUUGAUAAUUGGAACAAGGUUUUUCAAUUUGUAAUUAAAAAAAAGAAUAAUUGUUGUUGCUGUUCUUUUUUCUUUUUUCUUCAGUGUGAACGUGCGUAGAUUGAAUUUUUAUUUUAGAUAAUUGGAACAAGUUUUUUCAACUUUCAAGUCUUUUCAACGAUUCUUCGUAAUUAAAAAAAAGAAUAAAUGUUGUUACUGUUCUUUUUUCUUCAAUGUGAAUUGGAUUGGAUUUUUAUUUUGGAUAAUUGAAACAAGUUUUUUCAAGUCUUUUCAAUGAUUCUUUGUAAUUAAAAAAAAGAAUAAAUGUUGUUGCUGUUCUUUUUUCUUUUUUCUUCAGUGUGAAUUGGAUUUUUAUGAUUUUUGUUUUUUGGAUAAUUGAAACAAGUCUUUUCAUUGGAAUUAUUCUUUGUAAUUAAAAAAAAAAAUAAAUGUUGUUGCUGUUCUUUUUUCUUCAAUGUGAAUUGGAUUGGAUUUUUAUUUUGGAUAAUUGGAGCAAGUUUUUUCAAGUCUUUUCAAUGAUUCUUUGUAAUUAAAAAAAAGAAUAAAUGUUGUUGCUAUUCUUUUUUCUUUUUUCUUCAAUGUAAACAUGCGUGGAUUGAAUUUUUAUUUUGGAUAAUUGGAACAAAUUUUUUCAAGUCUUUUCAACGAUUCUUUGUAAUUAAAAAAAAGAAUAAAUGUUGUUGCUCUUACUGAUUACGCUUGGAUAUUUUAUCCAUGUUUAUUAUCGAUUAUUGAAGGCUUAAUUUGAAUAUAUCGGAAAUAAAAUAUAUAAAACAAAUUGUAAUAACGGAAAUAACAUUUUUGAGUGUCACCAUUUUUAUGAUAAGAUAAAUAUAUCACGUAUAUACGUGUUACGUAACACGUAGGAUGAAAUUCAACGUAAUAAUAAUAAAUUAUUUUUUGGAAAUAUAUAUAUAUAUCAAAAGCUGAUAACACCAACCAAUUAAUCGUACAUGUAGAAAAAAGUCAGUUCAAAAUUUUCUUCCUUCUAACCUAUUAUUUAAAAAUCGCCAAAAUUCAUCGGAGACAAUGGCUCGUUGACAAGUUUUAAUCGCCAACCGUUCAAAAGAACGAGAUUAGAGAUGGAAACGAGACACACACAUACACAUAUAUAUAAUAAAUAAAAAUAAAUAAAGCAUGGAUAAUUGCCAUAGAUGUAAAUAGAGCGAAAAGAAGAAAAAAAAAGGAAAAAAACAGAAAUAACUCGUUCGAUAAAUUCGUAGAUAUGGAUAUAAAUGGAUAUAAAUAGAGCGGGAAUUCGAAUAAACGGGUAAUUUAUUCGGUCGUAAAAUAUUAUUAUGCAGGAAAUUAUAAUUAAAUGUGUUGUUGAGACUCGGACGGGGAAAUAGAAAACUCCUGUAUGAAUGCUUUUCAUGGUUCAUACCUUCGAUUUGCAUUCGAAGUCAACACUUUUAUGGCGAAUUCUCGACGGGGAAAGUUGAGAGGCGGUUUUGCAGCGGUGGUUUACAGCGGUUCCGAUCAUACGCGUUCCUUCGGCCGUUAAUUAAGCGAGGCAAAAAAAAAAAAAAAAAGAAAAGAAAAGAAAAGACACACGAUGAGAGAGAGAGAGAAGCGAAGGAAAACGUAAAAACGAGAAGAAGAAGAAAAAAUUGGAAAAACAAAAAGAUUUAUUGGCGAGAAAAAAGAAAGAAAAAACUCCAUCCCGGAUUAAUAAAGCAAGAACGUAUCCGCCUGUAUCUGCCGCUUGAAUAAUUUAUAGUCGAACGAGGGAGGGAGAGAGAAAAUCGAGCAAUUCGAAAACUGAACUAGAACCCGGAUCCGGUGGAUCUACUUUCACGGGCGUUCGUUUUACCAUGAUAGAGAUAAAGUCGAAACUGUGACUCUCCUUUGAAUGCACCGGUGCUUCGAUAGGCUUGCGACAGUUUCCAACAGUAUUUUUCAGUUAGCACGGUUUUUCUUGAAAUUAGAACGAAAUUUUAUUCUUCUAUUAUUGCUCCCAGGAUAUUUAGCUUGAAUAAGAGAAGAAUUGGUUGGUAAUAAAGAAGGAAUUUUUCGAAAUCGGAUUCCUUCCCUCCCUGUUAUCUUCAAAAAUCUUCAAAUAUCUUCUUCAUCAUCCCCUGCAUGAUGAAUGCAUAAAGGGAUGAUAAUACGAUUGUCAUUAUUGCAGUUCUCGUCAUGGCAGUAUCAUUUCAGAUCAUUUGGAACGGGCUUGAGAAGAGGAUUUAUAUUAUAUAGAGGGAGGGGGGAGAAGUUGAGCGGAGGUUAACGCAUUGGUAUUUAUACUUGUUUUUUCUUUUUUAAAAAAAAAACUCGAAGCUUUGGAUUUCGAAGACAUCUCGCCGAUUUCUUGCAGUUGUUUUUAAUGCCACGAGGAAGUUAUAAACGCUUUACGAGUCAAUAUCCUGACGUUUUUUUUCUUUUUUUUUUGUCAAUGCAAAUUUAAAUACCGCAUAAUUCACGCGGAACAGGUUGGUAAUAUUCCAUCAUUGAAAUCAACAGAAAUUCUCUUCUGCAAUUAUUUCAUCGAUCGUUUUAAUCUCAUCCAUAAAUUAAUACUAUUAUUGUUACCUUGACUGUUUCAAUUAUUUUCAACUUAUAAGGAAUAAUCGUCGAUCGAAGGCCGUCUCGAAGGUAAUUUUACGAAAAAAAGAAAAAAAGCGAAUUAAUUCGACAAAAGAUCCAUUUAGAUCCACGGAUUAAUUCGAGAGAAGAAAUCUCGAUCAAAGACUCGAUGGAGCUUCCAACUGAAUACAUUUCUUUAUGUUGGAAAAUGAAAAAUAUUAUUAAUUAUAUAAAUUAAUUCGUCCAUUUGAUCGAUCCAUUUAAAUAAUUCAUCGACGAAUCUCGAUCAUAAUCGACGAAAGGUUUGACUACUGAAUUAAUCUUGUGUAAACAGUCGGCAACAAUUUGACAGGUGUUAUUAAUUGACAAUUGGCAGGUGACGUGCCAAUCUAAUUUCCUGUUCAAUCGGAGAUCGACACGUACGAUCGAACUCUUCUGAGAAAAGUUUGAAAGAUAUUUUAAAGCUUUCCUUUCGUACAAGAGCGUUCGAAUGAAAGCGAACCUCGUCAUCGAUAUGCACAGCCAUUUUGGAUUUCAAUAUUGCAUUUUCGUAUCCCGCCAAAGAAUUACUAUUCGCAUACUCCUUCGAUUUCUUAUGCAAUGAAUUGAAAGUGUCGAGCAGAAGGUAAUAAAACACGGGUUAAAAAAAAAAGAAGAAAAAAAAGAAGAAGAAAAAGAAAAAGCAAUCCUUCUUCUUCUUUCAACACACGUCACUCCAACAACAUCAUAUCCAACAAAACGUCCAAACGUGUGAACGAAAUAAAAGAUUAAAAAACCGAAGUCACGAAGGUCUUUGCAAUACGGUUCGGAUAAAGAGAAGAAGAAUUUCGCUUCGUUAAGAAUACUUCUUUUAUUCUCUUUCAAAGAAAUAAUGGAAGAUUGAUUAAUAUACAUACAUAUAUAUAUAUAUAUAUUUUUCAUAUUUUUCUUCUGACUGUUGUUAUUUUGAAUUCUAUUAUAUUUCAUAUAGUAAUCUUUCCUAAAAAUUUCUACCCACCAUUGCCAAUUCUGACGAACGAAUUCAUUUAGACACGUAUGAAUCACCUCGAAGGGAUCUCGAUCAAACACUGACAGAUUUCAAUUGGACGUGUUUCUUAUGUAAGCUGUGGAAGAUGUGCCAGUAGGCAUUAGCCUGAUUUAUAUAAUCUCGAAUAAUUUAAUAAAUCGCCGCAGAGGCUUCAAUCGUGCAUUAAAGAGAGAGAGAGAGAGAGAGAGAGAUCUAUUGGAAAUCGGCGGACCAGAUGGAACUUGCCCUGGUCACGGGAUACAGGGAACUGUGAUGCAUUCAUGCGUGCACUUUGGGUCAUCUGGAGCAUAGGAUGCAACCUUAUACGCCGAAAGACUUUCAUGCAUGACCACGUUUGGCUAUUUUUUUUUUUCAGCUUGGCAAAGUCGAUCGAUGGGGCUAAAAGAAAAAGAAUAUAUUCGAUAGGGCUUUCCAUAAUUUUCAAAUUAUACUUGGUUAGCUAUUGAAUCGAGUUUAAGUAUUUGAAUUUAUUUAUAUCGUACGUCAUUUCAUUUUUGAUGAUAAAAUUAAUUGUAUUCGGUAAAUGGAUAAUUAUAGCGAAAUUGUAAAUAUAAAAGAAUGUGAAAAUUUCUAUUCAAGUGUUAUCGUAAAAGCUGGCAAUAAAAGUACAAAUGUCUGCAUCGGUUCGAACAAUAAAUUCGUUAUAAAUUAUAAUAUCGCACUUGUGCAACAGGUAGCGUGGAUAUAAUUGAUUCUCUGAGGAAAGUGCAAAGUAUGAUAGGAAAAUAGAUAAUUUUUUAUAGACGUUUCAUAAACGUUUAAAAUUUCAUCAAACGUAGUAAAUGAAAGUAAAUGAUUAUUAAAUCUGAUUUUCUAAAUUCGUUGGAAACUUACGACAUAUUCGACGUUCGUUUUUAUCAUCAUUAACACUUAAUACGAUGUUAAUGAUAAAGUUAAUGCCAUCCGCGUUUAAAAAGCAAUUAGAAAAAACUAGGAUUUCUUUUUUUUUUUUUUAAGUAAAAGAAAAUUCGUACGAUUAGAAACUAAUAUAAGGCAACGGUUUCCAAGCUGUGGGUCACGACCUACAAAGAAGGCUAUUAGAAUGAAAAUUGGAAAAAGAUGGAAAGUCCAAGGCAGACCGGACAAGUUAGCACGAGAAAGAAUCAGGAGCAAGCGAGGAGCACGAGGGAGAGACAAGGAGAGACAAGAAGAGACAGGGAGAUCCAGGGAGAUCCAGGCUACGUCUCGAGUUGCCAAAGAGUACUUGAACGUCCCAGAAAGACCGAGAGGCAAGAUGAAACGAGGAUUGAAAAGAAAAGUCGAAGGAGAGGGAAGGGGGGGGGAUAGAAAGGAGGAGGAGAACAAAAAAAAAAUCGAUAAAAAUACGUGACGAAUCGAAUUAUGUUUAAUAGCGGUACAAUAUUAAUUAAAGCGAUAGUACACGCGUCAUUCGUACGUCGACGGUAAAAAAAAACGUUUUUUUUUUUUGUAACGUGACGUGUAAAUUGGCAAAUCGAUUUAUAUUAACAGGAAAUGAUAUGUCACAUAUAUCCACCGCUAACCGUUUCAUAAUAUCCAUCGUUUUAUUUUCCUUCCCGACUUUAUUGAUUAUACGCCGUGACUCUCCCUCUUCGUGUCGCUCUUUCCUAGGUACCCCAACCGUGGAGUGGCUCUUUGACCGGUCGCUCACCUCCUACCUCUUGCCCUCUGAAACGCGCCAUGUCUCUUAUAAUUAAUAACGAUACGGUUCAGGGUGGAAAGGGCACGAGCACUGCCUACGUCCACCUAUCAAAACAUCGUAAAAUCGAACGCUUCUCGACUUUUAAUUUUUCUUUAACCUUAAUAAUCGCUUCCUUCGCUCGAAGGAACUCGGAGAGUCAACAAGUUUCCCAAGUCGCGGCGCGUGAUCACUUUCACGACUCAUUUUUUUUUCUUCGCUCUUCCCCUCUCUCUUUUUCGCUCUCUUUUUUUUCCCUUCUUCCCUCCCUUUCUUUCCCCCUCCCCUCGUUCGACGCUCGAGAUAAUGCGUCUGUGAUCCCGAUCCCAAGGAGAUAAUAUACGCAUAAUACAUCUGUUCGUACGUUGCACCGGCUGAUGUAACGAUUAUGUAAGUAGUCUUGCGACCUACUGACACAGGCCAGGCCGGUUUUACUUUCGACUACUGGAACAGAAUGCAACGGCCGGCAUUAAAGUCGAAGAAAGUGCUCAGAUCUCCUCGACUUUCCCCAUUUUCACGGUUCUCUGGGAUUCCUGAGCACACUUUCCCGCCGCGACACACUUCACCGUAAAGCAAUAAGUAAAAGCGCUUCAAAGAGAAACUAUGCCAUGCUCGUUCGAUGCCUCGCUCGUUCGGUGACCCGAUAACAAACCAUCGUCCCGAGACGAUGUUUCCAAAUAUCUCGUUUGCUGUAUAUAACACAACGAAUUGGACGAGGAAGUGAAACGAAAUCGAAUUCAUCCGCUACUCUACUUUCUUCUUCAUACGAUCGAUUUGAAUUUCAAAAGUGGAAUUAUCAACGUCCUAUUGGAAAAUUUAUAUUGUACGAUCGCGAGCAAAAUUUGCAAACUCUUUGAUCCUUGUGGAAAGGAAAUCCGUGAUUCGAGAAAGAUUGGGAAAUCAGGGAAUCUCGGGUACCGUAUUUCGCUCGUCCUUGAUCAAACACCCGUGAACGAAUGUUAACGAGAAUAUAUCCUUUCAACGAUUUUUAAACGAGUUAAUCGAUCGUUUCAUCGAUGCUUAUGCACCUAGGUGCAAUAGAAAGUGAUUUUUUAAAAAUUUAUUCAUACAAGUUUAAUAUUACAUACACCUUUUGCAUUCAACGACGCAUCCUUAAUCAUUCUUCUUAUCUGUAUUGUAUAUAAAAUAGAUUUUGAUAGUCGUAGAAUUAGUGUAAUUUUCUGGCGUAAUUAUUUUCCAACCUAUUUAAAAGUGGAAUAACUUGAUAAAAACUUUCUGAUCGAACAUAAAUUAUACGUUUGAACGAAUAAUACGUGAAACGAACUUGAGAAGUAUAAUACUGUAACAAGAGCUAUAAGAAAAUAUUCGAAAAAGAAACGGUAAUAAAUUAAUUGCACGUAUAUAUACACGGCCGUCGACGCCUGUAAUAACUUUAUUACGUAAUUACGUUGUUAUUAUUUAAAAGUGAAAUCCUGGCGAUUUAAUGAUCCUUGAAGGGGAUGCGCAUGCGUUAAAAUUACGAGCACGAGGAUAAUACUGUUUUCUCUUCAACCGUGAUCCGCAGACACUGUCCACGGACAAUUGAGGCUGAAUGAGCGUUUAUCGUGCGCUCAACUUUGCGCCGACGUAAGAUAGAAGGCCGAGCUUUCACCUUACGAUCGUCCCCGUUUCUAGUUUCCCCCCUCGACGUGUUGGACGUCAAGGUCGUUUCGAGGAUGUUAGUCGACCUCUGCGUCAUUCCGGAUGGAAUAUGCAUGCCGCUGCUAACCAACCAGUGGCGUAUAUAACCGACUAUGGUAAAUAUUUAAUAAUCCGUUGAGAAUAAAGAUGUGUGAAAUUCUUUGUGACUCGUGGUUUGCGCCGUGCACGGAUAAUAAAUAACUUCGCGGUCAAGUUGGACGAAGAAUCAUAGUGGAUCAGGGGGACAAUAGUUGUAAUAAUUUUUCGACAGAAAUUUAUCACGCGCCGAUCGAGAGACAAUUAAUAAGGAUUUGUCCAUUAUGUAGUUGUGAGGUAUUCGUGAUGAAGCUCGAACGCGUAAAAUACUAAAAAUAUUCGGUUAUCUUUUCUUACAGAUGCGUUUUUUUUUCAUGUUAUAUAUGACGUUUUAUUGCGUUUUAAUAUUUAGAAGAUCGGUUGAUAUAUAACGUUAUUAAAUUGAACGUCUUAAGU